rnacentral:lncRNA from 1 species
GCCAAUAAAUUCUUGUUUUGUCUGUGAGGGAAAAGGUCACAUGCAAUAUCUCAUUUUCUAAUUUCUGACACCAAUGCAGCAAAUGUUAAAGAAUAUGGAGCCACAUAGCAUGAACUGUGUCAAUUGUAUGGGCUAUGGGUUCAUAUUGUGUUAGCUGAGGGUUACAGGUUUUUACUGCAUGAAGGUCAUGUGUAACUAUGCCAAGCUGCUUGCUUAGCAAGUAGGCCUAUUGCUUAUUCCAGUAAGACUAACUGAGUGGCUUGAUCAAGACCAUGCUUCGGCAACUAUUCUACUGCAUUUAGCAGCUUUCUAAGCUGGAGUGAAAAGCUUGGCAAAUGUUGCUCUGGAGUUCAUGAGACUGGUGUCUGUGGACCUCAAGAAGACAUUUUAUGAAGGCCUGGACAGUCAUCUUUCUAAGCUCCUUGAAUUCUCCCGGGCCAAGAGUGGUGGAGGGAUGGAGCUAAAACACCUUAUGGACAGUCUUGACAAAGACAGUUCCAAUCAAAGGUAGAGUGUGCUGUGCUCCGAGGCUUGCCAGACUUCCUGCGAGAAGACCCUACCAAUUUUUUGAAGACGUGAGGUAUACAACCCUACAACAUAACUUUAUGCUUUCUCCCAGGAGUGAAAUUUCCUAUGAAUUAAUGAUGCAUUGUAACAUUCAAUGGAGUUAAGUUGAAUGUCUGUCGCCAUCUGAAGUGAUUAUAACACACAGGCUAAAUCAAAUGUGAACCAACUACACUAUAUAAUGACCUCUCUUUUAGCAAUGUUUUAGUUGUUUUACUUUUACUCAACCUUUCUCCCUUGCUAUUCAUUCAGUUGAGAAUAGUGAUUUAGCC